rnacentral:misc_RNA from 1 species
CGGCGAUGAUGACACAACGCGU